GGAGUUAUGACUCAGCGGUAGAGUGCUCGCUAGCACAUGUGAGGCCCUGGGUUCAAUCCUCAGCACCA
rnacentral:tRNA from 1 species